UACGGAGGGGGUUAGCGUUGUUCGGAAUUACUGGGCGUAAAGCGUACGUAGGCGGAUUAAUAAGUUAGAGGUGAAAUCCCAGGGCUCAACCCUGGAACUGCCUUUAAAACUGUUAGUCUUGAGAUCGAGAGAGGUGAGUGGAAUUCCAAGUGUAGAGGUGAAAUUCGUAGAUAUUUGGAGGAACACCAGUGGCGAAGGCGGCUCACUGGCUCGAUACUGACGCUGAGGUACGAAAGUGUGGGGAGCAAACAGG
rnacentral:rRNA from 1 species